rnacentral:rRNA from 1 species
AUGCUUUCACAACUUGACUUCAAAAUAUUUGGUUUGGAGACCAUCAAAGAUCAAUAUGUGCAUGAUGCUGAUUUUAAAGAUGUAAUGCAGAAUUGUAAAGAAGGAAGAAUGUGGAACAAGUUUGUUGUUAACGAUGGAUUUGUGUUUCGUGCUAACAAGCUAUGCAUUCCAGCUAGCUCCGUUCGUCUUAUGUUGUUGCAGGAGGCGCAUGGAGGAGGAUUAAUGGGACACUUUGGCGUGAAGAAGACAGAGGAUGUACUUGCUACACAUUUCUUUUGGCCAAAGAUGAGACGGGAUGUUGAGCGUUUUAUUGCUCGCUGCACUACAUGUCAAAAAGCUAAGUCACGACUCAAUCCUCAUGGUUUAUAUAUGCCUUUGCCUGUACCUAGUGUUCCUUGGGAGGAUAUAUCUAUGGACUUUGUUUUAGGUUUACCUCGAACAAAGAAGGGGAGGGAUAGCAUAUUUGUAGUCGUGGAUAGAUUCUCGAAAAUGGCACACUUUAUACCAUGUCAUAAAAGCGAUGAUGCUGUUAAUGUUGCUGAUUUGUUCUUUCGUGAAAUUAAUCGUGAUACUAAAUUUCUUAGCCACUUUUGGAGAUGUUUAUGGGCUAAGUUGGGGACCAAACUGCUUUUUAGUACUACUUGUCACCCCCAAACUGAUGGACAAACUGAAGUAGUCAAUAGAACGUUGUCUACUAUGCUUAGGGCUGUUUUGAAGAAUAAUAAGAAAAUGUGGGAGGAAUGCUUGCCUCAUAUUGAAUUUGCUUAUAAUCGUUCAUUGCAUUCUACUACUAAGAUGUGCCCUUUUGAAGUUGUGUAUGGUUUCCUACCUCGUGCACCUAUUGAUUUGUUGCCUCUUCCAUCUUCGGAGAAGGUUAAUUUUGAUGCUAAACAACGUGCUGAAUUGAUUUUAAAAAUGCAUGAGUUAACUAAGGAAAACAUUGAGCGCAUGAAUGCUAAAUAUAAACUUGCUGGAGAUAAGGGUAGAAAACAUGUUGUGUUUGCACCUGGAGAUCUUGUUUGGUUACAUUUGCGUAAGGAUAGAUUUCCUGAUUUGCGCAAAUCAAAGUUAAUGCCACGUGUUGAUGGUCCCUUUAAGGUGUUAGAGAAAAUAAAUGAUAAUGCAUAUAAACUUGAGCUGCCUGCAGAUUUUGGGGUUAGUCCCACUUUUAACAUGGCAGAUUUGAAGCCUUAUUUGGGUGAGGAAGAUGAACUUCCGUCGAGGACGAUUUCAUUUCAAGAAGGGGAGGAUGAUGAGGACAUCAAUACAAUUGUUACACCCACAGCCCCUGCUGCUAUACAUACUGGACCAAUUACUAGAGCUCGUGCACGCCAACUAAAUUACCAGCGUGCUUCCGGCAUUGUCAGUAACCUCAGGAGAUUGGUUUAG